GAAUCCAACGGCAGAUAGCACCUGUUCCACCCCCUGCAACGGGCCUAACCCUACCUCGGAACAGAGGGUACGGUCAUAUGAUAGAGGAGGCUGCUGGAGACACGAUGGUGUAAUCACGAGGAAUGCUGUGUCUACAAUACCAAUGCAGGUGAGGAAAAGCACACUUCAGGAAACCCACAUACAGGAACAAGGUAAGAGAACAAGGAGAUCAUCUGGGUUCACCAAGCCACGGCAGUAAGAAACAGCAGCAUCUGAUGUGGACGACAACGUCGGAACUUACCAGUGUUGUGCAACGUGUCAAGGAGAAAUUUGGGACAAGGACACCUGGCAAUUCCAUACCCACUACAAAAGGAAUAAUGGGACUGACUCACACUUUAUAGAAACGGUGACAGCGGCGGUUUUGACUCAUCAUUGGUGCUAAUCAAGGUAAAUAUAAUCGCAAGUUGUACCAUUCCAUAAACUCAUGACAAGUUUGUAAAAUAGAGCUAACACCUUGUUACAGCAAUUCAAAGAGCAGAAUUACAUGAAAUAUGAUGAUGCUAAUAUAGAUGAAAUUCCAAAGAAAGCUGCUUCCUUAUACAAACUCAACUGUUUCUUUAAUUAUGUCUAGAGAAGGAAGAUGAGCAUAAACACACAGCACAAUGUUUAUCAACAAUUCACUCCUCUGGUUACCACGUAUACUACAAAAUACAAUCCAGAAAGAUUUAUUAUUGUAUCAAAACAAGAUGAUGAGGUUCUACAUUCAGAAUGUAAAUUAAUGUUAGAGGAUGACUCAGGAUUAAUGGCAUCGGUCUCAAAGACACUGAACCUAUUUUUUUUUUUAAUAUCCUGGGAGUUGAUUGACUGCAGGACCAUGCCAACCUAGGAAGGUAUUUUAAUAAGUACAGCCACCUUUGAUUACAGACUGUUUUUUACUCAAGAUGUAUUCCCAACUACCAAAUAAAUAUGGCAAAUGAAAAUAUAGUCUUAAAUUGCUAUGGAUGUACCCUGCCCCUGCCAAAAAUGACAAGCUGCUUGCUCAAAAGCUGUCACUAAUCAGCAGCUGCUGCUGUAAAGAAAACCAAAGUAUGUGCCAAUGGAAGCAUAUUGAACUGAAAGAGGGGGGGCCCCAUGACAAGAAAUGGGAAAUGCAAAAAUCUAUUUGUAUGUAGUGAACUUUAUAAAUACUGGUGAUCUAUAUUUGGGAGAAGUGGAGGCAGGGCAUUAAUGGCAAUAUAAACCCACUUAUAUUUAAACAGGAAGGACUAAAAGAUACUCCAAACACCCUGAAUGUCAAAAAACUCCAGGGUGCUGAGGGUACUGAAUUCCAUCACAACUUUUCCACCUUUCCAAUAGGAGUCAAACUUGGUUGUGGAUAAUUUUUCACUAUCAAUACUUCUGUCUCUGGCAUAUGAACACCUGUAUUUGUAGAUUAUCAUAAAAACUGAAUUUAAAAAAUACCUUUCAUAUUCUAAUGCUUCAACCCAAACUCUUAUGGUUCAGAAUCUAAUUGUUGACCCUCCACUUUACAGGUUGAGAACAUGGAGUCAAGGAAGGCAGAAGUGAUCUGCCCCAUGUAAGUGAGCAGGGAAUAUAGUGGGAGAAAAUCACUUUAUUCGCCCUAUGUUCAAGAUUCUGUUUAAGAAGCUCUGAAACAGUCCACGGGUUAAGAUCCUGCUUGACAUCUAAAUUGCAUAGGUUACUUUUCGAAUCACCCAAGGCACUCUCUCUCUGUUUCUUUACCAAUCAGAUCUCCCAUUAUAUUUCUCUUUCCCUCAACAAGAUAGUUUCUGUUGUGGGAAAAAAAAAAAGGCUAUUUCCUCCUUUUAGUUCUCUUACUCUCUUUCUCCUCCUCCCUCCAGGUAGACUGGUGGACAGCCAUCACUAUUUUAUCUAUAUUUGCACCACAGGGUCAGACUGUCUCUGCAGCAGCUACUCAGAAAAAUGAGAGUGAAAAGGAAACGUGGGAGGGAUAAUUAGAAUAGAAAAACAGAGAAAAGAAAUGAGGAUGAGCAUAUCAUUUCUUAAUGAAGCUGCAAUCUAAUACCUCUUGUAGCUGCUGUCCCUCAAGUAGAGUUUGUCUCAAUGUCUGCAUCAACAAUUACAACAAUGUACCAGUAAUUUUCCAGUUCAUAUCAGGCUAUCAGGAGAACAAUUUGCUUAAUGAAACAUGGAGAAAGACUAAUCUCUAAUAUUACUGUUGGUGCAGGUUUAUCAGCAAGGCUUGGAGGAGACAAGCUUACAGACAUACAGAUUAGGAAUCACAUUGCCAAAGCUUUAAUAACCCCCUAGUGGUAAGCAACAAGCUGUUGAAUUAACUUGUCUUUGGAUUUACUGUCUAUGCAUCACCGACUAGGUCUAGGUACAAAGCCAGGGGAAAGAAAAAGAAGAAUAAGCCAGGCACAAAGGGACAAUGAUUACACGGUUGCACUUUCAUGCGGUACCUAGAAGAGUUGAACUUACAUAUAAAGAAAGUAGUAUGGUGGUUGCCAGGAGCUGAGGAAGCAUGAUUAAUGGGUACAGUUUCAGUUUGGGAUGAUGAAAAAACUCGGGAUGGAUGGUAGUGACAGCUGCACGACAAUGUGAACAUACUUAAUGCCACUGAACUAUACACUUAAAGAUGGCUAAAGUGGUAAAUAUAUAUGUAUAUGUGUUAUAUAGAUAUUACACAUUUUUUUAAAUGGGGGAGAAAAAGCCAGUUCUUACCAAGUGAACUCACAUUUCUCACGUCUUUAACUCUGAAAUCCAAAGGAAAUAAAGAGAACUGGUUUUCUGUCCUUUUAUUUCUUUCACAAUAAAAGACACCUUUUCAGCCCAUCAGAGGGUUGAAGCAAGUCUCUGGCAUGCUCUCUAAAUUGAGGUUUAAGGGGAUGAGGUAUAUUCAACACCAGUCAAUGCUUAUUAUCAGAGAUGAGCAUCUGCCUACCCUAAACUGGAAGGAAGUAGACCAUCCCUUCCAUAGAAACAAUAAGUAUCUAUUUAACAGGUAUGUAUUGAGCACCUGUUAUAUGCCAGAUUCUGUUCUAGGUGCUAAGGACAUAGCAGUGAACAAAACAGACAUACCUUUUACGGAGCUUAGAUUCUAGUAUCUGAUAUUAAACACUUUAAAGCAAAAUUUGGGCUAUGCAAUACUUUCUAAAUUUUUUUUUGCCUUUAAUUUUCUUCUUUUUGGUUCUGUUGGGGGAAAAUACCAUCUGACUAUAAUAGAAUCUUACGAGCAAACAGCAAAGUCUGUGCAUUCAAACCAACAUUUGGGGAAAAGUUUUAAAAGCAUCUGAACAAAAAUAGACUAACAAGGGUGAUGACUGGCUUUUGUGAAAAGCUUGGCAAUGUGAAAGCAAUUUCUGAUAAAACUAGGACAUCUGUUCAUUCCUACUGAAAGUUGAUCAUCUUUAUGGAGCUAUAGUAUGUACAAAACAAAUCUGGUCUCAGCAAGGAUUCCCCAGUUAAGAUAAUUUCACUGUAUCCAGCUUUUUUCCAGGAUACACUCUUUCAUAUAGAGGAUAACUUUCGUGCUUGCCACAAUCAAAUCAAAUCACUUAUCUUUUGAAGAUGAUCUGCAGAUUCAGUCUCCAUGAGAUAAUAAAAAUAGGGUAUAUAGUUAAAAAUUCAUGAUGGGAUUCGUUUCUACCCACCAAUGUAUAGCAGCAGAAGGUGGUAGGUGACUAGCAAACAUUUAGUUUCUUCCUUUUCCCAUGGAAUAAAAUACAGAUCAAAUUCUACUAAAAUAACAAAUACCAUUACAGUGAAAACCUAAGCAGAACAAAAAUAUUUUGAAAAACUUGGAAAUGUCCCAUCUGUUUCUCAAUUCAACACAAAAAUUUUUUGCUCAAUAUAAUGAUUAUAACGAAUUUUAAAACAAAAGAAUCAGACUCCUUGGAGUAUAACAAUCUUUGUAUAUGCUCUUAAA